GUGAGUAGUUCAGAGUUUGAUCCUGGCUCAGGAUGAACGCUAGCUACAGGCUUAACACAUGCAAGUCGAGGGGCAGCAUGAGCAAAGCUUGCUUUGUUUGACGGCGACCGGCGCACGGGUGCGUAACGCGUAUGCAACCUGCCUCCAACAGGGAGAUAAUCCGGAGAAAUUUGGUCUAAUAUCCCAUAAUAUACUGAACGGCAUCGUUUGGUAUUGAAAGAUUCGUUGGUUGGAGAUGGGCAUGCGUAGCAUUAGCUAGUUGGUGAGGUAACGGCUCACCAAGGCGACGAUGCUUAGGGGGACUGAGAGGUUAACCCCCCACACUGGUACUGAGACACGGACCAG
rnacentral:rRNA from 1 species